rnacentral:misc_RNA from 2 species
AAGUCGUAACAAGGUUUCCGUAGGUGAACCUGCGGAAGGAUCAUUAUCGAUUCAACGAAGUGCCUGUGAGUUGUGCUGGCCUCUCUCGGGGCAUGUGCACGCUUCAUGGGUCUUCACACAUCCACACCUGUGAACCAAUUGUAGGUCUUUCGGGACCUAUGUCUUCUCAUAACACACUGUAUGUCUAGAAUGUCAUUAUGAUUAUCGUCUGCUUCCUUUGUGGAGUUGGGCUGAUAAGAUAAACAAUAUACAACUUUCAGCAACGGAUCUCUUGGCUCUC